rnacentral:rRNA from 1 species
UACGUAGGCAGCGAGCGUUGUUCGGAAUUACUGGGCGUAAAGAGUGUGUAGGCGGUGUUCCAAGUUCGGUGUGAAAUCUCCCGCUUAACUGGGAGGGUGCGCCGAAAACUGGAAUGCUCGAGCGUGGGAGAGGAAAGCGGAAUUCCUGGUGUAGCGGUGAAAUGCGUAGAUAUCAGGAGGAACACCAGCGGUGUAGACGGCUUUCUGGACCAUUGCUGACGCUGAGACACGAAAGCGUGGGGAGCGAACAGG